rnacentral:lncRNA from 1 species
CUCUUUUCAUCCUCAUCUCUGUCCUACCCAUCUCUCUCCAUUAGAUUGAACAUGGCUGGAAAGCCCAGGCCUGCCUCUGCCCAUCCAGGCCAGAAGAGACCACGGGACAGGAUCAUCUUCUGGGUGGAUGAAAGCAAAAGGACCCCUCUACUUAUCAAUCAGGUGCCAGCCAAGAGCCGGAGGACCCACCUAAGUACAGAGGUCAAGAACACCUACAACACUCACAAGGCCUGCAGGAAGGGUCAUGUGCCCCUGAGGCAGAUAAAGUACCAGACCGAGGAGUUGGAUUCCAUCCGGAGGGAGCUGAGCAAGAUCAAAGCCCAGGUGGACAGCCUGUUGGAGAGUCUGGAGUCCAUGGAGCAGCAGACAGACCAGCACGUGGGGCAGGCGAAGAAUCCAGCAUCGGACUAG